rnacentral:rRNA from 1 species
UACGAAGGGGGCUAGCGUUGCUCGGAAUCACUGGGCGUAAAGCGCACGUAGGCGGAUUGUUAAGUCAGGGGUGAAAUCCUGGAGCUCAACUCCAGAACUGCCUUUGAUACUGGCGAUCUUGAGUCCGGGAGAGGUGAGUGGAACUGCGAGUGUAGAGGUGAAAUUCGUAGAUAUUCGCAAGAACACCAGUGGCGAAGGCGGCUCACUGGACCGGUACUGACGCUGAAGCGCGAAAGCGUGGGGAGCAAACGGG